UACGUAGGGUGCGAGCGUUAAUCGGAAUUACUGGGCGUAAAGCGUGCGCAGGCGGUUUUGUAAGCCAGAUGUGAAAUCCCCGAGCUUAACUUGGGAACUGCAUUUGGGACUGCAAGGCUAGAGUACGGCAGAGGGGGGGUAGAAUUCCUGGUGUAGCAGUGAAAUGCGUAGAUAUCAGGAGGAACACCGGUGGCGAAGGCGGGGUCUCUGGGCCGUAACUGACGCUGAGGAGCGAAAGCUGGGGGAGCGAACAGG
rnacentral:rRNA from 1 species